ACGCUCGACACCUACGGGGGGCAGCAGUGGGGAAGUAUUGCACAAUGGGGGAAACCCGUGAUGCAGCGACGCCGCGUGGAGGAAGAAGGUCUUCGGAUUGUAAACUCCUGUUGUUGGGGAAAAAGAGGAUGGUACCCAACAAGGAAGUGACGGCUAACUACGUGUCAGCAGCCGCGGUAAUCUGAGCGGGCUGGCAAGGC
rnacentral:rRNA from 1 species